rnacentral:sRNA from 1 species
UGGUCGGACCAACGUAUUUGGCUGCGCC